GUUGACUUCAACCAUAAAUCCUAAAAAUUAAACUUUAGCCCAUCUUAUACAAAUAAUAGAAAGGAGAAUAUUUCAUACAACAAAUCUCAAAUGGAGUAAAAUAAUGGAGUAAAUCCAAGAUAAAAGUGAAACCACCUUUUUGGUUGGAUUCUUGAAGAUUGCCAUAGAUUAAACUUGAUUUCCCCAAAUGUUUCUUCACCUUCCUUGAUGUAUUCUCCUUGUGCCUUUAGUUGUUCCCCAAAAUCCAAGAAAGAAGAAAGAAAAGAAAAGAGAAAAAAAGAAAAGAAGAAAAAUGAAGAAGAAAAGAGGAAGAAGAAUGGUAGAAAGUGGUGUUUAAAAAGUGUAAAAAUUAUCCUAGCCAAAAUGCA
rnacentral:lncRNA from 1 species